UUACGCGAAGACCUUACCUACUCUUGACAUCCUGCGAACUUGGUAGAGAUACCUUGGUGCCUUCGGGAACGCAGAGACUGGUGCUGCAUGGCUGUCGUCAGCUCGUGUUGUGAAAUGUUGGGUUAAGUCCCGUAACGAGCGCAACCCUUGUCCUUAGUUGCCAUCAUUUAGUUGGGGACUCUAAGGAGACUGCCGGUGACAAACCGGAGGAAGGCGGGGACGACGUCAAGUCAUCAUGGCCCUUACGAGUAGGGCUACACACGUGCUACAAUGGCAAGUACAGAGGGCCGCGAAGCCGCGAGGUGGAGCUAAUCUCACAAAGCUUGUCGUAGUCCGGAUUGGAGUCUGCAACUCGACUCCAUGAAGUCGGAAUCGCUAGUAAUCGCGUAUCAGAAUGACGCGGUGAAUACGUUCCCGGGUCUUGUA
rnacentral:rRNA from 1 species